CCUACGGGUGGCAGCAGUGGGGAAUAUUGGACAAUGGGCGAAAGCCUGAUCCAGCCAUGCCGCGUGUGUGAAGAAGGCCUUCGGGUUGUAAAGCACUUUCAGUGGGGAAGAAAGCCUUGGGGCUAAUACCCUCGAGGAAGGACAUCACCCACAGAAGAAGCACCGGCUAACUCCGUGCCAGCAGCCGCGGUAAUACGGAGGGUGCGGGCGUUAAUCGGAAUUACUGGGCGUAAAGCGCGCGUAGGCGGUCUGAUAAGCCGGUUGUGAAAGCCCCGGGCUCAACCUGGGAACGGCAUCCGGAACUGUCAGGCUAGAGUGCAGGAGAGGAAGGUAGAAUUCCCGGUGUAGCGGUGAAAUGCGUAGAGAUCGGGAGGAAUACCAGUGGCGAAGGCGGCCUUCUGGACUGACACUGACGCUGAGGUGCGAAAGCGUGGGUAGCAAACAGGAUUAGAUACCCGUGUAGUC
rnacentral:rRNA from 1 species